UACGUAGGCAGCGAGCGUUGUUCGGAGUUACUGGGCGUAAAGGGUGUGUAGGCGGUUUUCUAAGUUUGGUGUGAAAUCUCCCGGCUCAACCGGGAGGGUGCGCCGAAAACGUGGGAGACUAGAGUGCGGGAUGGGAGAGUAGAAUUCCUGGUGUAGCGGUGAAAUGCGUAGAUAUCAGGAGGAAUACCGGUGGUGUAGACGGCUCUCUGGACCGCCACUGACGCUGAGACACGAAAGCGUGGGUAGCAAACAGG
rnacentral:rRNA from 1 species